AGGGGUAUAGCCAAGCGGUAAGGCAACGGACUCUGACUCCGUUAUGCGUAGGUUCAAAUCCUGCUACCCCUG
rnacentral:tRNA from 1 species